rnacentral:ncRNA from 1 species
UAUUAAGAGAGUUUGAUUCUGGCUCAGGAUGAACGCUGGCGGCACGGAUAAGUCAUGCAAGUCGAACGGUGCAAGGUAGCAAUACUUUGCAUAGUG